GAUGAAGAACGUAGCGAAAUGCGAUACUUGGUGUGAAUUGCAGAAUCCCGUGAACCAUCGAGUCUUUGAACGCAAGUUGCGCCCGAAGCCACUAGGCCGAGGGCACGCCUGCCUGGGCGUCACACGCCGUUGCCCCCCCAUCUACUCCUUCGGGAUUGCGGGGGGGCGGAUGAUGGCCUCCCGUGCGCCUAGCCGCGCGGUUGGCAUAAAUACCAAGUCCUCGGCGACGCACGCCACGACAAUCGGUGGUUGCGAAACCUCGGUUGCCCGUCGUGUGCGUUCGUCGCGCAUCGAGGGCUCGAAAAAAUGCUCGGCUCCGGCUGGGCUUUCAACGCGACCCCAGGUCAGGCGGGGUUACCCGCUGAAUUUAAGCAUAUCAAUAAGCGGAAGA
rnacentral:misc_RNA from 1 species